CAUAUCAAUAAGCGGAGGAAAAGAAACUAACAAGGAUUCCCCUAGUAACUGCGAGUGAAGCGGGAAAAGCUCAAAUUUUGAAUCUGGCGGUCUUUGCAGGCCGUCCGAGUUGUAAUCUAGAGAAGCGUCUUCCGCGCCGGCCUGUGUACAAGUCUCCUGGAAGGGAGCGUCAUAGAGGGUGAGAAUCCCGUCUCUGACACGGACCACCGGUGCUAUGUGAUGCGCUCUCGACGAGUCGAGUUGUUUGGGAAUGCAGCUCAAAAAGGGUGGUAAACUCCAUCUAAAGCUAAAUAUUGGCGAGAGACCGAUAGCGAACAAGUACCGUGAGGGAAAGAUGAAAAGGACUCUGGAAAGAGAGUUAAACAGUACGUGAAAUUGCUGAAAGGGAAACGCUCGAUGUCAGUCGCGUCGGCUGGGGGUCAACCUUGCGGUUUCGCUGGGUGUAUUUCCUGGUUGACGGGUCAGCAUCAGUUUCGGUCGUCGUACAAGGGCCAAGGGAAAGUGGCACCCUUCCGGGGGUGUGUUAUAGCCUUUCGGUCGUAUGUGGCGGCUCGGGACUGAGGAGACUCGGUGUGGGCUUCGGCUUACACUANAGAUGCUGGCAUAAUGGCCUUGAGCGACCCGUCUG
rnacentral:rRNA from 1 species